rnacentral:rRNA from 1 species
CCGAGAAUAUUCCGCAAUGGACGAAAGUCUGACGGAGCGACGCCGCGUGAAUGACGAAGGCCUUCGGGUCGUAAAAUUCUUUUAUGAGGGAGGAAGUUUUGACGUUACCUCAUGAAUAAGGGGCUCCUAAUUCCGUGCCAGCAGGAGCGGUCAUACGGAAGCCCCAAGCGUUACCCGGAAUCACUGGGCGUAAAGGGUGUGUAGGUGGUGGUAUUAGUCUUCUGUUAAAUACCCGGGCUUAACCCGGGAA